AUUGAACGCUGGCGGCAUGCUUUACACAUGCAAGUCGAACGGUAACAGGGUGCUUGCACCGCUGACGAGUGGCGAACGGGUGAGCAAUGCGUCGGAACGUGCCGAGUAGUGGGGGAUAACGCAGCGAAAGUUGUGCUAACACCGCAUACGUACUGAGGUAGAAAGUGGGGGACCUUCGGGCCUCACGCUAUUCGAGCGGCCGACGUUUGAUUAGCUAGUAGGUGAGGUAAAGGCUCCCCUAGGCAACGAUCAGUAGCGGGUCUGAGAGGAUGAUCCGCCACACUGGGACUGAGACACGGCCCAGACUCCUACGGGAGGCAGCAGUGGGGAAUUUUGGACAAUGGGCGAAAGCCUGAUCCAGCCAUGCCGCGUGUCUGAAGAAGGCCUUCGGGUUGUAAAGGACUUUUGUCAGGGAGGAAAUCCCUAGUGCUAAUAACACUGGGGGAUGACAGUACCUGAAGAAUAAGCACCGGCUAACUACGUGCCAGCCGCCGCCGUAA
rnacentral:rRNA from 1 species